rnacentral:sRNA from 2 species
AACCAACAUUUGCCGAAUUUCCAGUCAUAUGGAAAACGGGGGAUCCGAUUUUGGGUGAAUUGAUCUCGCUUCAGAGUGAUCAUAGGGAACCUUCAACCGAACCCUUAAGCUAACCUCGUAGGCGCGGAAGGGGACACUU